rnacentral:rRNA from 1 species
AACCCUAGUCAUCUCUCAGCUCAUGGAUCGAUGAAGACCGCAGCUAAAUGCGCGUCAUAAUGUGAACUGCAGGACACUUACUGCUUCUUUAAUACAAUGGUCCCAUCAUAUUUUCUACGUUUUCGCUCUUGACACCUCUAUUUAGGCCUUG